UCAACCAUCAGAUCUAGGGUCCCCUCUCAACAUUUUAGGCUCUAGUGGAUUCUACUUGAUUUGUGAUUAGUGUUGUCAUGACAAAAUGUGGGAUCCUGGUAGGAGAAAGAAGUAUAUGUGUACGUGUGUGUAUGCUGUGUGUGUGUGUACAUUGAUGAUAAGAAUGAUGUUGGUGUCACAGCAAUGAGUGGAUGUCGCUGUGGAAUGCAGGUCAUACCUGGAGUGCCUCUCCCUGUUUUCUUUCAGGCAGACAUCUUCUAUCUAAAGCUGCCAGUGUAUUAACAUCAGACUGGCAAACCAUCUAUGUAAGAACAGGACUGUAUAGGACGUGCUGGUAAACUACAGGUCUAAUAUUUUUUAUUUUUUUAAUAAUAAAUUUAUUUUUUAUUGGCGUUCAAUUUGCCAACAUACAGAAUAACACCCAGUGCUCAUCCCGUCAAGUGCCCCCCUCAGUGCCCGUCACCCAUUCACCCCACCCCCCUGCCCUCCUCCCCUUCCACCACCCCUAGUUCGUUUCCCAGAGUUAGGAGUCUCUAUGUUCUGUCUCCCUUUCUGAUAUUUCCUGCCCAUUUCUUCUCCCUUCCCUUCUAUUCCCUUUCACUAUUAUUUAUAUUCCCCAAAUGAAUGAGUACAGGUCUAAUUUUUAAGCUAAUUCCAGUGAGCAUUGUCUUUAAUUUGUUCUUUUGGAAAAGAGAUUUACUAACCACUUGUACUUUUAAAAUGAUUAUCUGUUGUUGUAUGCUGUAUACAUGCAUGUGCAUGUUCCCUUAGAGCAUGCUAGUUUAUUGAUACAUUUUCCUUUGUGGUAUUUUAAAGGAUCAUUGCUAAUAUGUAAUGGUGAUUUUAUAUGUCAUUUUAUAUAUACAGACAUAUAAUUAUGUCCAUUCUUAUGAUUCUGCGUCACUGAGCACUUUGUCGACUACAUAUCUACCCACCACGUGUCAGGUGUGUGCUUGAUGGAAAUGACACAGUGGUGGGCACGUUAUAGGAUAUGCCUUGUUUCAGUGGCUGGUGGAGGAGAUAGACAGAUAAUUAAAUGGGCCAUGAUAGGGAAGGGCCAUGAUAGGGAGACAGAGGCAUAAUAUAUUCUCCAAUUUGUUAAUUCAUCUUUUCCUCAACUUAUGGCUCUCAGGUGAUAUGAAGAGAUGAUUUAUUACUUGCUAUUAUGUUGCUGAGUUUUAGCAUUUUAUUAAAAUCAAGCCUUAUAUUUUUGUAUUUGAGAAGGUAAAAAGAAAAGUUAAUAUAGUGAGGACCUGUUUUCCUAAAAUCAAAAUUCAAAUAUAUGCAUAUAUUUGAAUCAAUUGAACUUAGAACUUUUCCCUUAAGAAAUAGUUAUUAAACAUAAAUGGACAAAUCUAAUGGUAAUGUUGAAGUAGUUCCAUCGUUUAUCUUGUUUGCCUGCAGGGAGCCAUAGUUGCCUAACCUCAGGUAAAGAAAACCAGUAUGCUUUGGAAAUACACAGAUGUUUUACUCUCUUAGGAAAAAUAGUCUUUUCUCCAUUUAGAAACUAUUUCAUAUUUAAAUUCUCCAGACGUUUUCUUUUUCACUAAGCAGGUACUUUUUAUAAUAAUCUGAGAUAUCUAAAAU
rnacentral:lncRNA from 1 species